UACGGAGGGAGCGAACGUUGUUCGGAUUCACUGGGCGUAAAGGGCGUGUAGGCGGUCUGGCAAGUCAGGGGUGAAAUGCCACGGCCCAACCGUGGAAUUGCCUUUGAAACUACCGGACUUGAGGCCGUGAGAGGAGACUGGAAUUCCCAGUGUAGCGGUGAAAUGCAUAGAUAUUGGGAAGAACACCAGUGGCGAAGGCGAGUCUCUGGCACGGUUCUGACGCUGAUGCGCGAAAGCUAGGGGAGCAAACGGG
rnacentral:rRNA from 1 species